rnacentral:rRNA from 1 species
ACAUGGCUCAGAUUGAACGCUGGCGGCAGGCCUAACACAUGCAAGUCGAGCGGUAGAGAGAAGCUUGCUUCUCUUGAGAGCGGCGGACGGGUGAGUAAUGCCUAGGAAUCUGCCUGGUAGUGGGGGAUAACGUUCGGAAACGGACGCUAAUACCGCAUACGUCCUACGGGAGAAAGCAGGGGACCUUCGGGCCUUGCGCUAUCAGAUGAGCCUAGGUCGGAUUAGCUAGUUGGUGAGGUAAUGGCUCACCAAGGCGACGAUCCGUAACUGGUCUGAGAGGAUGAUCAGUCACACUGGAACUGAGACACGGUCCAGACUCCUACGGGAGGCAGCAGUGGGGAAUAUUGGACAAUGGGCGAAAGCCUGAUCCAGCCAUGCCGCGUGUGUGAAGAAGGUCUUCGGAUUGUAAAGCACUUUAAGUUGGGAGGAAGGGUUGUAGAUUAAUACUCUGC